UUCAGUUAAGACAUUUUUUAUGGAUAUCCUGAGUUUCUCUAGUGAAACCUCUUUCAUUUGCUCUCUUUUGUCAGAUGGUAGGGAAGGCUGUAAGUACAAGAUGGGACAGCAAGGACCAGCAACCAGAUGAGGAUAUCUCCUCUAGCCCCAGAGCAUCUUGCCCCUCACAGAGGAGGUAUAUGUAGGGCAACCAGCUUCUCCAUCACCAUGAGCCACCUCCCAAUACAGGUCAGAUGUUGGAGAAGUAGUUGUGGAUGCGAGGAUAGAAUUUUUCAAAAAGUAGACCCUUUCUUUCUCAGAACAUUAACUACUGCCUGAUGUAAGGAUGCGCUGGUCUAACAUGUUUGGCAGAAUGUGAUUUCUCUCUUGCGUCCUACAUAAACACUGAAAUGAGCUUUGUAAAUUCAUCUCUUAUACAUUUAGGUCUCUGGAGUUGGCUGGAUCUUGCCUGUCAGUGUCUCAUCAUGCUAGUAGACUUCAAAGACACAAGCAAAUUUUUCCUGGAGGGAAAAAGUGAGGGAAAAGAUCCUUCCUGAAGUUUUGGACCAGUCUGUUUGCCUGGCCAUGCUGGGAUCUUGGAAUGUCACUUCUGGAAGGUCAUUAAAGGUGACCCAGCCCUCUGCGGGGGGAAUCACAUGCCCAACCCUCCAGCUUUAGGUGGAAUAGUUUUUGGAAAAUCACCAGCCUCUAAUAGCAUUGGUUUCAUUUUUGGGAAGAUUUGAUUUGAUUUGAUUUUUUUUUUCAUAUUAUGCCAAACUCUCCCUGUCCAUGAUAUCUACCUAUUUUACUACCAUUUUUUUACCCCCUGAUGCUGCAAAGCACAUUUCCUCUCCCUUUUGCAGUUCUUUCUUCAGAUGGUGCACAGAGAUGCUGAGAGCCUCGUAUCCGUGAAAUACAAUGCCAUUCUCACCGCCUCGGUCUUUGGAUUAACAAAAGAUGGGAGCUCAAAUCUCAAGAUGGGAGCUGAGAUGCAGUCACACAGAUGUGAUGAACAGAUUGACUUUAAUGCUUCAAGUAUCCAACCAAGGACAAGACUUCUCCAGAUAACAUCUACAGAGGGAAAAGGAUCUAUUCAUGUGGAAUUCUUUUGACUCCAUUCCUACUCAAGUAUCUAAAUUACUGGACGCUUUAGUAUGUAAUAGAAAGAGGACAGCAUAAAAACUUUUAAAAAUUAUCAGGCUGGGCAUAUCAAUAUUUAUUGAAAUACUGAAAAAAAAUUCCAUUUUGUUGAGAAAUUCCUGGCAAGAACUGACAUGACAAUAUGUAUUUCACUGAUACAGGAAGAAAACGUCAACAAGUAACUGACUUCACACUCUAAACAUUGCAUGGAUUCAGGUCCAAGGUAGCUGCAGAAGAUCUGUAAUACAAAUAUUCAGACAUUACAGAUUGUCUGUUUACACACAUAGACCAACUAUAAUAAACCAGGCUAAGCCAAAAACGUUUAUAUUUGA
rnacentral:lncRNA from 1 species